AACGAACGUUGGCGGCAUGCCUAACACAUGCAAGUCGAACGAAGCCUUCGGGCUUAGUGGCGCACGGGUGCGUAACACGUGGGAAUCUGCCUCUAGGUAGGGAAUAACUCAGGGAAACUUGUGCUAAUACCCUAUGAUGUCUUCGGACCAAAGAUUUAUCGCCUAGAGAUGAGCCCGCGUCGGAUUAGCUAGUUGGUGAGGUAAAGGCUCACCAAGGCUACGAUCCGUAGCUGGUCUGAGAGGAUGAUCAGCCACACUGGGACUGAGACACGGCCCAGACUCCUACGGGAGGCAGCAGUAGGGAAUCUUCCGCAAUGGGCGCAAGCCUGACGGAGCGACGCCGCGUGAGUGAUGAAGGCCUUCGGGUCGUAAAGCUCUGUUCUUGAGGACGAAUAAGCCAGGGAGUGGAAAGCCCUGGUGAUGACUGUACUCAAGGAGAAAGCUCCGGCUAACUACGUG
rnacentral:rRNA from 1 species